UGUUUGUUGAACUUGAGGUUUUGAAAUUUUUAAACUUGAGAAUCAUGUGUUGGUUGAACUUGGGUUUGUGUUUUUUGUUGAACUUGAGUUUGUGUCGUUUUUGAACUUGAGUAUGUGGUGUUUUUGAACUUGAGUUUCUGUUGUUCUUGAACUUGGGGUUGUGGAAAUUGUUAAACUUGAGAAUAAGGUGUUGGUUGAACUUGAGUUUGUGUCGAGAUUUAGCUUGAGUUUGUGGCAAUUGUUGAACUUGUAUCUGUGGUUUUAGGUGAAUUUUAAUUGGUAGCAAUGUUUGAACUUGAGUUUGUGGCGUUUGUUGAACUUGAGUUUGUGUCGUGUCUGAACUCGAGUAUGUGGUGUUUUUUAACUUGAGUUUGUGGUGUGUUUGAACUUCAGUUUGUGUGUUUGUUGAACUUGAGGUUGUGGAAAUUAUUAAACUUGAGAAUCGGGUGUUGGUUGAAUUUGAGUUUGUUUGUUUGUUGAAUUCAAGUUUGUGGCGUGUUUCAUCUUGAGUUUUUUGUGUAUUUGAAAUUGAUUUUGUGUUUAUGUUGAACUUGAGGUUUUGGCAAUUGUUAAACUUGAGAUUUGGGUGUUGGUUGAACUUGAGUUUGUGUCAUGUUUGAACUUGAGUACAUGUUGUUUGUUUAACUUGAGUUUUUGUGUUUGUUGAACUUGAGGUUUUGAAAUUUUUAAACUUGAGAAUCAUGUGUUGGUUGAACUUGGGUUUGUGUUUUUUGUUGAACUUGAGUUUGUGUCGUUUUUGAACUUGAGUAUGUGGUGUUUUUGAACUUGAGUCUAUGUUGAUUUUGAACUUGGGGUUGUGGAAAUUGUUAAACUUUAGAAUUGGGAAUUGGUUGAACUUGAGUUUGUGUCAUGUUUGAACUUGAGUAUGUGGUGGUUUUGAACUUGAGUAUUUGGUGUUUAUCAACUUGAAGUUGUGGAUAUUGUUAAACUUGAGAA